GGACUACACGGGUUUCUAAUCCUGUUUGAUCCCCUUACUUUCGCGCCUCAGCGUCAGGUAUAAGCUAGAAAAUCGCCUUCGCCACCGGUGUUCUUCCACAUAUCUACGCAUUUCACCGCUACUUGUGGAAUUCCAUUUUCUCCGCCUAUCCUCUAGUCCCACAGUUUCAAAUGCUAUUCCGGAGUUGAGCUCCGGGCUUUCACAUCUGACUUACAGGCCCGCCUACGCGCCCUUUACGCCCAAUAAAUCCGAUUAAUGCUUGCACCCUCCGUAUUACCGCGGCUGCUGGCAC
rnacentral:rRNA from 1 species